GAAUUUUCCUCAUCUUCAUCCCCAUUCUCUCUCUCUCUUUGCCCAAAAACCAUUGUCGACGAAUAUAGGUAGGGUUCUCUGCACCACUGCUGUCUGGUUUUUCAAGCUAAGACGUCGCUCCACCAUUGCCGUUGGCUUCUGCAAGAUUCGAUAGUCAUGGCCUCUUCCCUCGCCGGUAGUCAUGGCCUCUUCCCUCGCCGCCAAUGGUUCCUUCUUCCCUCGCCGCCAGUCGUUCCCUCUCCCCUUGCUGCCGGUUGUUCCGGCUCUAAGUAACCCCUCUUCUCUCUCUGUUCAUUCAACAUAGGUGGUGUUUGUGCUGUUAGUAUUCCUUCCUCUCUAACAGACCCCAAUGGAGAACAGUUUACGUCGUGCAAAGACGUUUCUUCGUUCUUUCAGUCUUAUGUUGGGAUUAGUGGUGCAAGCAAAUCAUUGACUCAGCCGGAGGCCGACAAUCAGCAAGUUCACGGUGUGGGUUCUGAAGAACAUGCAAGUUUUGUUCACAAAAAUGAUGAUGUAAAGCGGAAAGCAAUCCCAGUUCAAUCUUACCCAGUCCGUCUAUACCUAUUGUACAAGAGAAGGGUUUUGAUUCGAGGGGAAUUGAUAAUCUGCCUGAGGUUCAAGUUCAGCAUCUUUUUGAGUGUGACAAAAGCAUCAUGACCUUUAGUAAAGGAACUCCUUUGUGAGGCAUCUGAUGUCAUUUCACCAGAGGAUUAUGAGGAGGUACAACCUUGGUUCCUCAACGGGGGAAAAUCUGAUACCUAAAGAAUGUGAAAGUGGGAUCUUGCAGAAGGGAUUUCAAGAAAGGCAGAGUCUUCACACCAACGUGGGAAUCCAUACAAGGAAUGACAAUGGGGGUUAUGCAGAAUUACCAGAUCAGACUGUGGUUCAGAAGAACAUUCUUGUAAUUAAAGACAAAUUUUGAUGACUGAAAUUGAAUAUUGAUACUGGUUUUGAGUAAUUAGGAUUAUUCUUGUUCUUUUUGUUUCA